rnacentral:rRNA from 1 species
UACGUAUGGUGCAAGCGUUAAUCGGAAUUACUGGGCGUAAAGCGUGCGCAGGCGGUUAUGUAAGACAGAUGUGAAAUGCCCGGGCUUAACCUGGGAACUGCAUUUGUGACUGCAUGGCUAGAGUUUGGCAGAGGGGGGUAGAAUUCCACGUGUAGCAGUGAAAUGCGUAGAUAUGUGGAGGAACACCGAUGGCGAAGGCAGCCCCCUGGGUCAAGACUGACGCUCAUGCACGAAAGCGUGGGGAGCAAACAGG